rnacentral:snoRNA from 1 species
UAGACCAAUGGUGAGAGAAUGUCAUGAGCAGGGCUUAUGAUUAAUCCAGUUCUGUGCACCUGAGGUCCAAU